rnacentral:ncRNA from 1 species
UUGCUGCUGCUACUGCUGCAGUUGCUGCUGCUGCCGCUGCUGCAGUUGCUGCUGCUACUGCUGCAGUUGCUGCUGCUACUGCUGCAGUUGCUUCAGGUACUGCUGCAGUUGCUGCUGCUACUGCUGCAGUUGCUGCUGCUACUGCUGCAGUUGCUGCUGCUACUGCUGCAGUUGCUGCAGUACUGCUGCAGUUGCUGCUGCUACUGCUGCAGUUGCUGCUGCUGCUGCUGCAGUUGCUGCUGCGAAGCAACACCCCUGCAUGCAUGCAAGCAGCAAGCCCAG